AAAUGUCUGUGCAGUGUAGCAGAAACUGUGUACAGCUGAGUAGUUGGCGCUCGCCUGCAGGGCUGCUGCAUGUACGAGGGAAUACAAAAUGACAGCUUCUAUCUAAAGCUGUCGGACUGCACGACACAAGGAAAAGCUCCAGGGUCAGCGCUAAAAAUAUGUGGACUCAUCCUCAUGCUGAAAGCUCACUUUGCCAUAAACCAAUAAUGUGCCAGAAAAUGAAGACGUCAAACAUCAUGUAACAGCAGAAAUGCAGCAGGAAGCUGCUGAGGCUGGGUGUUGUUUCCUCUUGCUGUGCUAAACGUGGGAUGCAGCAAUCAGUCUGCUGCAUGUGCAGAACGACCUAAGUUUAGAUCUUAUCAUGUGUGACAUAAGCAACAAAUGACAUUGGAUGACAAUAAACAGUGAUUGGCUUAGGAGUCA
rnacentral:lncRNA from 1 species